UUGAUAUCACAUUAUGAAUGACAUCUUAACAAGGGUUCUUCAGUCCAUGAAUGUUAUCUUUUCAUUUAAGUCUUCUUGGACUACUUUCAUUGUUGGCCAAAUUAUUUAUUUUCCUUAUUCUCGAUAUCUACACACACUACUUUUCUCACAAUGGUACAUUAUUGGUUGUAAAAACGUUUUGCUCUCUUAAUUUCAUACUCAUCAAAAUUUUAUCUUGAUAGAAUUAAAGAACAUUAGAGCGCUAUAUUUACAACACAACAUAGAAUGUGUCUAGAUUUGUUUUAAGAGUAGAGGCUCCAGGUCCAAAGAGCUCACUUUGAUGUCCCUGUUUCUUUGUGGGGAAUACAUACACUAAUGGUUUCUGUUCUUGUUUAUAUAUAUAUCCCUUGCUAAGGCUGCAGUGGUGACUUCUCCUUGACUUUGGUUAAGCUUCUCAUCAUUCAUGUUACUGUCUUCAAAAAAGAUGCUUAUAAAUGUACCCUAUUUGCAGACUGUAGAUAGAUAUAAUCAAAUUAACAUGAAGUUAUAACUGAAAUAAGAUAGGUCCUCAAUCCAAUAUGACUGGUGUACUGUUAAAAAGACACGGGGCUCUGAGGGACCGUUCAGGAGAUAAAGGUGCCCACUGCUGAGCCUGACAACCCGAGUUUACUUUCCCAGAACCCACAAGGUGGAAGGAGAAGACAGACUCCUGCAAUUGUCCUCUGACCUCCACUACGGUACUGUGGCAUGAGUGGACCUUACCUAUCCUCCCCAAACAAAACAAAAUUCUCUAAGGUUGUUUUCAAACUGGUGAUUUCCCAACCCUAGUACAGCAUGCAAUUAAUUACGGGCAUGCACCAACAUACAUGGCCAUUUCAUUCUCCUCUCUAAUAAUUUUGUGCAUACACAUUGCAGUGUUGGAAAGUACCUACAGAGAAACACUGAUCCCUACACACCAUCCUUGAAGAACAUCUGGUCAGGAUGAUUGCCUUAUGAACGGAAAGGCAACAAUCUUAGGCUUAUUCGGGAUCGAAAAUGUUAAAGCCUUGAAAACUAAGGAAGGCACAACUCAAAUACUGGCUUCUCAAGAGAUGCAGGAGAUGUACUUUCCUUUCUGAUUAAUUAAACUUGAGAGAUGUCUGAGAACCGAAUACAAACCAGGAAUGAUAAUCUCCAGGUUUUAGAGAUUAAGAAGAAGUAGAUGAAACAAACAUGCUUUGUAGUUAUCUGAAAUGGCAUUCAUUCAUUUUGUUUGUUUGUUUUGGAGAUUUUAAAAGUUAUUUUAAUAAGGCUUGAGCAUGAGGGUUAGGAGAAAGGCACUCAGGAGAGGGCCAGACGCACAAGCGUGGCUAUGGGCUUCUCAAGGAAGUUGCUUUGAUGAAUGCUUUUAAGACUGACAUUUUUAUAUUUAACCACAAGGAACUCAAAACGUGCACAUUCACUAAAAUGAUGAUUGCUGCAUAGCAAUACUUAAGUGAAUCGGACAAAUAGAAGUAUGUGGUCAAGUGGUGGUCAACGUCUUAGAAAUCCAACAGAGAUUACUCAUGAAUGACCCGAGUUUUGGGAAUGGGAACCUACCGAAUUUUCAAGAUUCUAUUUCAGUUAGCUUUAAUAAACUAGGUAAGCAAAGUAUUCUGAAUAAGGUUUAAUUUUGUUACCCCAGAAUUACUUAAAGUAUUUCUUUUGCAUACAACUGUUCAGCCAUUACAUGAACUACUUUCAUAAUAUACUUCUUUUAUGGGUAGAAAAAAAAAAAAAAGAGUAACAAAAAAAAAAAAAAUCAAAGAUUUCCACGUGGGGUAGAGGCUUCAAAAGAAAAAAAUUAUUAUCUUUAAAAAUGAAUUUUGAGACCGAUCGGCAAAACUGCUGAGUAGAAACAGUUGGUACACGGGCCGGCUUUACAAGUAAGAGCGAGUGCAAAAUUAUAUACAUGAUGACUGGCGAUGAGGAGAGCCAUCCCGUAGGAAGUUGGGGCCGGGUGUCGGCCUGCUCAGCGGCGGCAGGCCCUGAACCGACCCGCUCCCCGCUCUCGGGCCUCCGCUGCCCGAGCGCCCCUGCUCGGCCCAGCGCACUCACCGAGAGCUCCCCACGCUGCCCGAGGGCGGGAGGCGGCACAGCGCGGACAGGGAAGCGCGCGAGGAGACGCGACGGACACCGAACCCGAGCGGGACCCCUGCAGCCGCUAAGUUCCAAACCCUUGGAGCCGCAGAGCCGGGCAGCACGCAUCUUGCCCCACAGCCACUUCCGGAAGCUCUCUAGGAAGCUCGGAGGUCUGACAGCUCUAUGGUUUCAUAAAGUCCAAACUGCCUUCAACCUAUGUUUCUGAGGAUGACCUUGAACUCUUCACAUACUUCUACCUUGACCUCCCAAGUGUUGGGAUUACAGGGUGGAGGAUACAUGUUGCUUCAUCUAAUGGACUUCUCUGACUACCUCCUCCUGAUUUUAUAUCUUACCAGUUAUAUAAUGGCACAACUGUCUCCACAAAAUAAAAAACCAUAUUUGCUUUGCUCACUAUUCUUAGUGCCUUACACAAAAUGAUAUAUUACUUACUGAAUGAUGAGUGAUUUAAGGUUUCCAAAACAUCCAGUGUCAAUACUAACUAAUGUUUUGCUGUCCCAAGAAUAAACCAUAAUUUGAUUCUCCCUGGGUUAAGCCUGAAGAUAUCUUACAUGCUUAGGUAGAUAUAAAAACAUUGAAAACUUUGGGAACAUAAAUCUAGGAUGAACCCAAAAUAUGUAGGCUCAUCUGGACAUUUGAAAAGCUAGUAGUGCACGUGAUCUCCAGAGUGCCUAUCUCAGGAUGUAAAAGCGCCUGCAGAGUAGACAGGAAGAUCAAAGCUUAUCCACCAAGAGAAAGCUAAACUGAGAGCUCCAGUAGGCUGCUCCAAUGUCAUUCUAUUUCUGCCUCAUGGAAGUUGUUUGUAAGCUCUUGAUUUAAUGAUAUUUCCAUUGUUAUGUAAAUCAUGAUACUCUCAUCAAUUCUGCUGGAUGUUGUGAACUAACUCCUGAUUUGAAGAUCAUUUAUUAUUUGCUACUUGCUAUUUUUUUCCUUUUGCUUGCUAUAUCCUCAAUUAACUCAUUCAUUUCAAAUAGAAAUACUGGAUAUCUUAGGUCAUUGCCCAUACUGUACAGAGCAUCUGCUUCUAUGAAUAUUUUUCUCAUGCAUAAGCAUUUUUUCCAAGGAGUAGAACUACUGGGUAGAGCAUGUGGGUGUCAAACCUCGUCAAGUAUAAUCAAACCCUUACUGAAUGUUUGCCCACUGCGUGAUCCCAUCACUGAUGUUUAAACAAUACUGCACAAUUAAAACUCUCUUCAAUGAUU